GAUGAAGAACGCAGCGAAAUGCGAUACGUAAUGUGAAUUGCAGAAUUCAGUGAAUCAUCGAAUCUUUGAACGCAUAUUGCGCUCUCUGGUAUUCCGGAGAGCAUGCUUGUUUGAGUAUCAGUAAACACCUCAACUUCCAUAUCUUUUUUGAAAUGGGAGUUGGACUUGAGUGAUCCCAACGCUUUUCCUCACCGAAAAGUGGCGGGUUACUUGAAAUGCAGGUGCAGCUGGACUUUUCUCUGAGCUAUAAGCAUAUCUAUUUAUUCUGCCUAAAAAACAGAUUAUUCCCUUUGCUGCAGCUAACAUAAAGGAGAUUAGUUCUUGUGCUGACUGAUGCAGGAUUCACAAAGACGGCUUCGGCCGACUUUGUAAACUCGAUCUCAAAUCAAGUAAGACUACCCGCUGAACUUAAGCAUAUCAAUAAGCGGAGGA
rnacentral:misc_RNA from 1 species